UACGUAGGGGGCAAGCGUUGUCCGGAUUUAUUGGGCGUAAAGAGCGUGUAGGCGGCUAGGUAGGUCCGUUGUGAAAACUCGAGGCUCAACCUCGAGACGCCGAUGGAAACCAUCUAGCUAGAGUCCGGAAGAGGAGAGUGGAAUUCCUGGUGUAGCGGUGAAAUGCGCAGAUAUCAGGAGGAACACCGGUGGCGAAGGCGGGUCUCUGGGCCGAUACUGACGCUGAGGAGCGAAAGCGUGGGGAGCGAACAGG
rnacentral:rRNA from 1 species